rnacentral:rRNA from 1 species
AUUGAACGCUGGCGGCGUGCUUAACACAUGCAAGUCGAGCGGUAACAGGUGUAGCAAUACAUGCUGACGAGCGGCGAACGGGUGAGUAAUGCAUCGGAAUCUUCCUAGUAGUGGGGAACAACCUGGGGAAACUCAGGCUAAUACCGCAUACGACCUACGGGUGAAAGCAGGGGAUCGCAAGACUCUGCGCUAGUAGAUGAGCCGAUGUCGGAUUAGCUAGUUGGUGAGGUAAAGGCUCACCAAGGCGACGAUCCGUAGCUGGUCUGAGAGGACGACCAGCCACACUGGAACUGAGACACGGUCCAGACUCCUACGGGAGGCAGCAGUGGGGAAUAUUGGACAAUGGGGGCAACCCUGAUCCAGCGACGCCGCGUGUGUGAAGAAGGCCUGCGGGUUGUAAAGCACUUUUAGUGGGGACAAAAAGCUACGGAUUAAUACUCUGUGGUCUUGAUUUAACCCAAAGAAAAAGCACCGGCUAACUCUGUGCCAGCCGCCGCAGUAA